ACUAAAUAUUUAAAAUUAAUUUAAUAGAAAAAAUAUUUUUUUAUUAGUAUAGAAGAUAGAAAUAAAGAAGUAAGUUACCUGUAAAGGUAUUUAGUUGAAAAUUUUAAGUUAAAAUAUGUUCUUUUAGGAUCAAGAUUAGACAAUAGAAAAAUUUGUGUAUAAAAUAUUCCGAAAAAAUAAGAUUUUGUAUAUAUUUAAUAAUUAUAUAUCAAUAUAAGUAUAAAAUUAUAUACAAGUAGUGAUAUGCCAAUCAUUUAUUUAUAGCUGAUUUAUAUAAAAUUAUAAAAAUAAAGGGUCAUCUUUUAUUUAAUAUAGAAAUUUAAUAUAGAAAAAUAUAUUCUUUAUUAUUAAUAGUAUAUUUAAGUGUAAAAACUUGUUAAUUUUAUUUAAUAAUUAUUUUUAUAUGUAAAGUAUAUAAAUUAAAAUGUUAAAAUGAGUAAUUUAUAAAAAAAGUUUUUUAACAAAUAAUAUCUAUUUUUAUUUUAAUAAAUAUACUUUUUUAGAACUAAGAUUUUAUUAAAAUGUUUACUAAAAACAAUUUUUCUAGAUGCUUAUUAGAAAUAAACUCUAAUUUCAAUGAUGAAUUAUAUAAAACCAUAGUUUAAAUAAAUUAGUAUGCUUAAUUGGUUUACUUGUAUAGGGAAUUAAUAAAAUAUUUUAUAAAAGUAAAAAAUGAAUUUUUUUUUUAUGUGAAGAAACAUAAAAUUCUUUAAAAGACGAAAAGACCCUAAGUGAUUUAGAUUAAUAAAGGAAAAUUUCCCUUUAAAUUCUUUGUUGGGGUAACUACUGUAAAAAUUUAACUAUAGUUAUUAGUUUUCAUGUGUGAUUGUAAUUGAUCCUAUUUUAGAUUGUAUUGAAAAUUAACCUUAGGGAUAACAGCGCUAAUAAAUUUAAUAAGUUCUUAUUGUUAAAUUUGUUUACGACCUCGAUGUCGGUUUAUUUUAUCUAUUUCUCGCAAAAGAGAAAAAAGUUUGUUUGCUAACCAAUUAAAAAAAUACAUGAGCUGGGUUAAGGACGAAGUAAUUCAGUCCGGACUUUAUCUUUAAUAAUUAAUUUAAAGAAAGUACGAAAGGAAAUUUUUAUAUAUAUUAUUUAUA
rnacentral:rRNA from 1 species